GCACAGCUCAGGAGUCCCAUAAUAGGACGAAACGGCCGUCCAGUGC
rfam:Schistosoma haematobium scaffold1860_9, whole genome shotgun sequence.